AUGAGCAUUGAGUGUGGUCAAGCUGUGUAGACCCUUAGGAGCUUGUCAUGCGGUUAAAAUCAAGAUUUACUUGCACGUUCACUCACACAUGCUGCUUCUACUUCAGAAGUACGCAUCCACAUAUAUCCACUCACUUCCAUCUUCAGGGCCACCCAAAAUUAUUCUACUCCUAAUCCGGGAGAGAAUAGCCAAAAUGAUUAUCCUAUCCCUGUUAUUCCCUAUGAAAUAAAUGCUCGAGUUAUCUUGGUUACUACCACUUGCUAUAUUAUUUCAGGAGAUGAGUGCUCUAAAAAAAGAAGAAGAGAAAAAAAGAGGAUACGAGGAAAUAAAAAGGGGUAAGUGCCCGAAACCUCGAAGAAAAGAAAAAUUGAGACGAGAGGUAAAAAUGGACAAGUGUCCGACAGUAGAAUUAGAGGUACAAGAUACCCACCUAAGAGGAAAGAAAAAGAAAAUAUAGAGCAUCUCCUUCUCCUCAAAAAGCUUCAAAGUGCAAGAAAGGUAUGUAUCCCCUCAUAAGAGCAAAAGUAGAAUUAGACUUUCACCAUUGUUAUCACCAUCAUCACCAUACAGCAUUCAUUCGCCACACAUGCACAUCUUGAUUUGACUUAUUGAUUUGUUUCUCUGGAUCCAUGGUUUGACUAUACAAUAAAUGUCUUGUAAGUAUGUACUAUCUAUCUCCCACCUAUGAGCUCCAGAUAUCAAAACCUUAUUAGAGUAGGGUGAGAGAGAAGGCAUAUACCAUCACUGCCUUGGAAAGGAUCCAGAAAUACCACAAAAGAGAGAUUGGAGAGAAUCAUACAAGGAAUCUCUGAGUUUUAUUUGAAAAUCUGCAAAAACUCUAGAGCUAUAGUUAAUCAAAUAACAAGAGACAUGGUGCUUAACUUGACCAUUCUAUCUUUUAACUGCUCAAGACACAAGUGACGGUUACAAGCCCCAUGGUGAAAGGUAAAAUGAGUAUGUUUUAAGUCUUAACAGUUUACUCUAACUCAUAGAUGAGAUCUUACUUUUAAGGCAUGAAACCACUACAGAAACUCUUGAGUUCAUCCUUGCUUAGGGACGAGCAAGAGGUAAGCUUGGGGGAGUUGUUGACGGUCCUUAAGUACCAAAAAUAAUUAUCAAAUAAAUAAAGAAAAGGAUCCAAAUACAACCAACACCCAGACUUAGGGUUUUAUCUGACAGAAUUCCAUGAGUUUUGGUGUUUGUCUAUUUCUGCAGGGGGUUAUCAGGAAAUACGGAAGAAAGGCCCACACGUUGGGUUUACAUAGAGAUAUUAACGUGUCGUGCAAUUUUCUGUCAUCUAGAAGACUCCAGAAGCCACGGGAACGAACGGGAAGGCGAACGGGCCUGGGGGCAGGGCGCCAGCCAUCCCCCCUAGGGCCCCCGCCCUGUCCUAGAGUCCAAUUAGGACUCUCUUCGGGGAUUACGCUCCACCGACCUAAAGGAUCAAGGAUAACCGUUCAAUCAAUGUCGGUUUGAUCCGACGGCCCAGAUUCACUUGAAGGGACUAUAUAAGCUGACUCCCUGGCCCCUGGAGGCGAACAAGUUCAUCAUAGAGUUGAGAGGAGCCCUCAAAGGAAUACCUCUCCUCUAAAUAGACUUAGGGCUUAGCAUCCAAUGUGAGUAGAAUUAGAUCUUCUAGUUUCUACUAGAUUGACAGAGAUAGAGUGGAGGUGUAGAUCGGAGGAAGCCCGGCAUGUCGGUGUCUACUCCUAGGUUGUACCUGCGGGAUCAAGUUCUCCUAACCCGAAGCUUGCUCCUAGGAUUCUUCAGUAAUUCGACUUCUAAUUCUAGUAAUUUCUUGUUUUAUUGUUCUUUGGUUUAUGAGUUUACUUUAAUCUCUUCCGGUUGAGUUUAGAGUAAUCAUUGCUAGCGUAAAUGUGUUGUUUGGGCUAGGGUACUCAUAGAUAUCCCCUGACUAGCUGGACCGUGGUAGUAGCGAGGAACGUGAUAUUUCCGAGUUACCUUUGCAGCCCACAUCUUGUUAGCAGGACGGGUAGGGUUUAUAGGUGCGGGUCGAACAUCCUUUGUGGUGUCUAGAUUCUGUAAGCUUUCCCAAUAGAACAGUAGAUCAUCCUGGAGGUUAGAACGAGACUGCGGUCGCAGUCUUCUCUAUACAUCGCUCACAUCGAGAAACAUUCUUUGUAGCCUAAAGGGUAGUAGCAAUAGAUUUGGUCAGUCAAUGCACGCUUUCUCCCAGUGGUAAAAAUAUAAAUACGAUACUCUGGAUAACCUCCCAGGUGAAAUGCUCACUGAUAUUCGUGCGCUUGCGGAUCAUUUUCUAAUGGCGUUACCAAAUAUCAAGAAAUACGAGGAAAUAAAAAGGGGCAAGUGCCCGGAAACUCGAAGAACAAAAAAAGUGAGACGAGAGGUAAAAAUGGACAAAUAUCCGAUAGUAGAAUUAGGGGUGCAAGAUACCCACCUGAGAGAAAAGAAAAAGAAAAUAUAGAGCAUCACAUUCCCCUCAAAAAGCUUCAAAGUGCAAGAAAGGUAUGUAUCCCCUCAAAAGUGCAAGCGUGGAAUUAUACUUUCACCAUUGUUUUCACCAUUAUUAACAUCAUCACCAUACACCAUUCAUUCGCCACACAUGCACAUCUUGAUUUGACUUAUUGACUUGUUUCUCUGGAUCCAUGGUUUGAUUAUGCAAUAAAUGUCUUGUAAGUAUGUAUUAGCUAUCUACCACCUAUGAGCUCCAGAUAUCAAAGCCUUAUUAGAUUAGGGUGAGAGAGAAGGCAAUGUCACUAUGCCUCAUACCAAAAAUACCAUGUACUUUGAGAGAAGACAUAUACCAUCACUGCCUUGGUAAGGAUACAGAAAUACCACAAAAGAGAGAC
rnacentral:lncRNA from 1 species